rnacentral:rRNA from 1 species
CCUGGUGAUUAUAGCGCGGGGGCCACACCUCUUCCCAUUCCGAACAGAGAAGUUAAGCCCCGCAGCGCCGAUGGUACUGGUCUUCGACUGGUAGAGUAGGUCGUCGCCAGGC